GCUCCUCACCUCUCCUUUAUUUAUUUUUUUCUUUUUCAUUUUUCUGCCUAGCACUCCUCUUCACUCUCUUAUCCUCUCUCACCGAUACCUCCAUACCACCAUCUCCACCAUCAUUUUUCCGGCAAUGUCACCGGAAAAUCCUUAGGAACCUUUUUUCAGAUUUAUUAGCUAUACCUUGGGUAUGGAGCAUACAUCAUUGGUGAUGAUUGGAGUGCUAUGUUAAAUUUGGAGACUUUUGCUGUAAAUGGUUGGUGACUUAAUCUUGCUAAGUUCAAUGAUGCCUUAAUUAAUUGUAUUGGAGGUUGGUCGCUUGAAGUUUGUUAGCCUUUGGCGUGGUAGGCCUAGACUUGAUGUUAAGGUCCUUAUUCUUGAUAAGAUUGUCACUUUGUGUAAUUUAAUCAGAGUUUUGUAAUAUAUUCAUGUAUUAUGUGGAGGCACAUGAUUUUUAGUUAUU